CUGAGGCCGGGAGCCUCUAAUAUGGGAAGAUUUACAUUUUCCUCUCCACUGGGACAGAGGAGUAUGAAAGGAGGAGAAUGAAAAUGAACAAACUGUUUCGGAAACGGUCCCAGAUUCUUGGUGAAGCGCUGGAGGAGAAGAUCUCUACUUGCACUGUUUAAUGGUGAUGGUGAAAUCUCUGAUCAGCACUAAAAUAAUGGGGCCACCUGGAUUUGCUGACGCAGUGCCGCUGCCCCGCCUGCCAUGUACGUGGAUUCAGCAGAGCCUUUAUGUUUAUUCCAAUGGGCCCGAUUCUCUCCCCAACUGCUCUCUUCAAUGUUGAUUGGACCCCAGUUGGCACUUGAACCAAUCUCCAGAUCUGGAUGGGAUGAAGUAGUUCCUACCUCAGGCUGGUUGCUUUCUUGAGUGGAAGAGGUAUAAAUUCUGGUGCUGAUGGAGGCAGCCAUUUUCUGUCACCUCAAUGGGAAACAAGAGGAAUUGAGGUCAGAAGAAACCCACUCUGUUCCUCAAUUCCACAGUCCACACAGUAGGAGUUAUAUAACAUACUUACUUCAUGGGGUGGGUAUGCAUUUUAAAUGUGAUGAUGUGUGUAAAGCACCGGCUUGGAGCCCAGCACAUGCACUGUAAAGGUCACUUCUCUUUUCUUUAGGAUUCUUCUUUCAUUGUCAUCCCAAGUGACCCCCAUUGCUAAGUGGCUUUAGCAUCAAUACAGAAAUGCUGAUACCAUAGCUCUGCCUCCUUUGCUUGACUUCAAUGCUCUUUCUUCUCCACAGAGAUGUUUUACUUCACCAUUGGCAUCUAACUUCUGACUUUUACUCGAACUGCUUCUAGAAACUUUGUGCUUUACAGCUGAGUAACUCCGCUGACUUCUUUAUUUUCUUCUGCGAGUGUGGACAAUCAGGGAGCAGAAAGGGUCAAGUACUGACUGAGCAGCAGUAUGGCUGAGUAUUUUA